GGGGUUGUAGCUCAGCGAUAGAGUGCUUACCUAGCACGUGUGAGGCCCUGAGUUCGAUCCUCAACACCACA
rnacentral:tRNA from 1 species